UCUAGCACGUGAAAACGAGUUUAUAUGAGCUAGCUAGCCAUGGGCGACAUGGGAAAUAAAUAUUUUGACGCUAAAGCCCUCACAAAAAACGCCAACAGUGUUCCAUUUACUCAUACUUAUUUAUAUAUUAACCAAGUUACAAUGAUAUUAUUAUUGUAGCAGCUAACAUGAAAAAAUAUUUUUAUCUCGCGGGCUAACACGAGGCGUCGCUAAUUGCUAGUCUCGGCGCCAUUCAUGUACGAAAGAGUGGAUACCUAACUCUCAAUUUCGCUACAAAAACUCAACAAGAUGCUGGUUUGCCGUCAGCAUUUUUUUUUACCUGAGGACUGGAGCACACGUCUUGUGCUGGAACAUACAGCCAUCCCAAGGAGAGCGGACAUCGACUCCCGGCCAACCAAAAUUACCCCAAGAGCGCAGCAACGACUCAUCCAAGAGGUCACGAAAGACCCCACAACAACAUCCAAAGAACUCCAGGCCUCGCUUUCCUCAGUUAAGGAAGCACACGUAUAGUAUCGAACACUUGCACCUAUUUGGAGUAUGCUUACCUUGAUGCGACUCUGUUUGAGUCCCUCGACAAUCUGCUCCAAUUGCCUGAGGAAUUGCUCCUUAUCUGAUGAGGAUGACAUCGCCCUGGACAACAAAAAUAAAUGUACAGUAUAUUGUAUCCAUUGUCUACAGUGGUUCCCUGCAUAUUUACAAUUUAUUAUUUUUUUUCUCUCUCUCUGAAAGAGAGUGUGGUGAUGGAAGCAACUUCA